GCCGGGGGCGCGCACCUUUAAUCCAUGUUACUGGGAGGUUGAGGCUGGAGGAGCGUUUGAGCUCAGGGCCUCUGAGCUGCUGUGGACUGUGUGCACAUGGCGCUCCUGGGGGAGCCCGGGACCACCAGGUCGUCUAAGGAGGGGUGCACCGGCCCAGGCCGGACACGGGGCAGGUCAAAGCCCCUGUGCCGCUCAGCAGUGGGAUCGUGCCUGAGAACAGACAGACAGACAC
rnacentral:SRP_RNA from 1 species